rnacentral:rRNA from 1 species
GACGAACCGUCCUAACGUUAUUCGGAAUUACUGGGCUUAAAGGGUGCGUAGGCGGCCCUGUAAGUUGGGUGUGAAAUCCCUCGGCUCAACCGAGGAAUUGCGCCCAAUACUGCAGGGCUAGAGGAAGAUAGAGGUGAGCGGAACUUGUGGUGGAGCGGUGAAAUGCGUUGAUAUCACAAGGAACACCUGUGGCGAAAGCGGCUCACUGGGUCUUUUCUGACGCUGAGGCACGAAAGCUGGGGGAGCGAACGGGAUUAGAUACCCCGGUAGUCCCUGAGCGGG